CAUUUUUUGAUGCAAUAUUUUGAAAGAAAAGUGUUGUACAGCUUCAUCAGUGCUGCAUGCAUUUCUUGGUUUCCUUUUUUGCUGUGUGCUUCCCUCCAGCCUGGCUGUCUGUGUCCACCUGUCGACCCUGCUCUUAUAUUUCAAUUGAAUUUGCCAUUUGGAAAAAGGAAAAAAGAAAAAUGUUUAAUUAGAGAUGGAGCUAAAGCAGCUAAUUUGAUCUUCCAAUGGAAAAAAGAAUUACAGGUUAAAAAUGAAGAUUAUAUGCUCUGGGUGAAGAAUGCUCCCUCCUUUCAGGAGCACAAGUGGAAGGAAAGGAAGAACAAGGACUGACCCUUGGCCCUUUGACCAGUGAGGAAGUUGCUUGCCUCGAGCGAUGAACGUGGUCCAUCCACCACUGAUGAAAUCAGAUGUAUGUGGAACCCUGGCCUGAAGCAGAGCCUGCUGUGCUCCCGGGUUCCUCUCCCUGCACGUUCAACCUCUGGGACGAGCCCAGGACACUGCCAGGGGUCAGCUGGGGGGGAGCCAAGAGUUUGGCCGGCAGAUUCACAGAGCUUAUCAAUGGGCUCUUGUUCGGCUCAGGAUUCCUGAGCUCCUGAGUCACAUCUCUGCAGGUAACUAUAAAUCACCCAGCAAAGCCUUCUACAGAGCCUGGGGUUUUGCAAUACUUGGCCCUUUGCAAUUUUGCCUCUUCUGCAAAUAACAGGAGUGCCCAUUUUUGCUCUGCUUGGGCCAGGCUUUCAGGUUACAGGCUCUCAGUUCACAAGGGAUUUGUUAGUCCAACCAGACUGCUGCUUUUUUAC
rnacentral:lncRNA from 1 species